CUGAUGGCCCUGUGCACAGUGCCAUGCACAGCCUGUUGUUCUCAGUGUGCCUUUCCAUAGGCUACUGUAUGACGCACUGUGCACACAAAACUCCCACAGUUUCUAAAGAGAUAUUUCUUACUGUGUUUUCUUUCAAUGUACAUAUUAUAUCCUGGGUUUUUAUGAAAUAACCAUAGCAACAACACUAACACAGAUAUCUUCAAUGAGAAAUAUUAAGCUAUAGCUCUUGCUGUGAUUCUGAAAUGAAAUCUGCUCUGUUGGCAAAUUCUGGGGUACAAGCCAAGCCAGGGAUUUAAUCCCAUCCCUAGGGUUGUUUUAGAGUGCAAGAUGGAUCGAUAGAAAUUUUCAGUAAUUUCUUGAGAUGGUUGUCCAAGAAUGCUGGUACAGACUGACUGCCGUUUUCCUCAGAAACAGCAAGCAAACCUUGGAGUUGUACCUGCCCAUCAUCCCUUCAAUAGGAAAGCUGUUCUGGGACCCCCUGUCAUGUCUAGUGGCUAUGGGUGAAGUAGAAGUCUCUUGGAAAUCUCUUAAUCUUGUGUUGAGUCCAUCUUUAAUAUUUCUUAGGUUGGUUGUUUUUUUUUUUUUUCUCCCUUCCUUUCUUUCUUUAAAUGGCUGCAUAAUCUUUUUCUGGAGGAAUCAAAGACCUCAUUCCAAAGAAGCGGGUCUCUUUGUACUCCCUUGAUCUUCUGCUAAUCCAUGUAGUUAGCUAUCGCUUGCUGUGAAAAAUAACCUAGCUGGUUUUCCUUGGAUCUGUCAAUCGUAGCAUCUCUUCAUCGCUGAAUUUUUCUCCCCUAAAUGGGCAUGAUGUAAGAGCUGACUGUAUUGCAUCUUCGUAAUGGCUUAGCUAUCUAGACUGGUAAUUAUCAAUGCCUGAACGAGAUUCAAAGCCUUGCACGCUUUGCCUGUUGCCUGGAGGCUCUUGUAUCACUUGAGGAUGCCCUGACUAACAUGGCAGCACUCUCUCAGCAGCAUUCAGGCAAACAAUAGGAUGCACAACAUAUAAACUAAACUGAGCUAUGUUGUUUGAUUUGAGCAAGGCACCGUGACUGAGGGGCAAGAGAUAUUGCAUCUCUGCUGAACUGCAGGUGCAAUGAGAGCACGCACUUAGCCAAUGUCUGGAAAAGAGAAUCUAAGAAAUUCUGCUUUUGCUGAAACAGAUCAAGGUCUGAGCCAACUCAGCAGGUAAAUAGAUGAUGCUUAAAUCUUCAUUAAUUUGUCCUCAGACACACCACUCACCUAUGGGAAUGGCUUCCUGAGUGGCACUGGAGGUCCAUGAUCAAUAGGACCAAUGGAGAGCUUCCAGAAAUGGGACCACCGCUUCCCGCUGGGCGUUUUCCUCCCCGUUCCCAGCAGGGCUGUGCUAGUGGGCUGCUGUGGGUUUUGUGCCCAGAGCCCUGCCCUGGCCGGGGCAGCAGGCAGCAGCGUGUGGGCAGCCAACACGGCCCAGUUUGCUCUCCGCAGCCCGGCGGUGUGGCAGCCCCGAGGCCGGAGGGCUGGAUGGGAGCGUGGGGUGGGAGAAGAGUCCCCCGAGAAGCCUGUGUGGUCUGGAGAGCCCUUAUCCUGCUCAGGCGCUGCGGACCGAGCCGUCACCCUGCCCCUUUGGUGGCUGCGGUGCUGCUCACCUUGGCAAGCAGAUGACUUGAACCUGUCCCUGGCAGGCAAAGCCCCAGGAGGCAAGACCCCGAGGGUGAAUUUGGAGGGCAGAUUAUUAAAACACUGAGUUACCAGAAGUCUACUCCAGAGAAACUAUUUGAGCACACACAAAUCAGUAUGCAAAGAUUCAACAGAGACAUGUCUGAGUGAUUAACAACUCAGAUUUAUUAAGGUUAGCUCAUGCCAAAUGCAUCUAACUGCCUUCAGCAUAGUUGCUGAUGAAGACGAUAACAGAGAACACAGUGCAGGGGAUACCUGAAUUCCAGAGACAAAUCCCCUUAUAUAGCCCCAUCACAUAAUGAACAAAGAAACCACAAAAUGCCAACUAGAUUAGCAAAAAGCAAGCAGAAAAAAACCCACAAUGAGUCAGAAAAUUAGCUCAGGAAGGAGAAACAGAAUACAAUUAUCAUCAGUUAGCUCUUCAAGUGGAAAACAGUACCGAGGGGCUGUCCAAAGCACACUGAAGGAAUAAAUGGGAAUGUCCUCAAUUAAGUCCAGAUCAAGCCCUGGGAAGUGGGGCUAUAGCUGGCUCAGUGUCAGAGACGAUCCUCUUGCACUGAGAUACAACUCAGCAGAUUGGGUCACUCCCGGACCGGGGAAGACGAGGGAGGAAAAAGCCCGAACCUCACCCAGAAGGCUCGGAUGCAAAGGCACACCCAGAAUUAACACUCGGAAGAUAAUGAGCAGACACCCCCUGCCACCGGCAGCAAAGGAGAGUCUCUCCCUCAAGUCAGGGCAGAUGGCUCUACCCUCUCACCGACUGAGGAGCAAACACGCCUGCUUCCCUCGAGCCAUCGCCUCCUGUGCUGCGGUAGGGAGAAAAAUGCUUCUGAUCUCCCCAGACUUUGGAUGAAGCCCAAGCGGGAAUACUGACAGGGUUGUUGAACCUCAGCGGCUUCUGGCCCCAAGGAUUUCCCCUCUGCAAGGAUCUUCAGUUGGUGCUUGUAGCUGACAGUAGCAACAGUAAUUUUCAAAACAUCACUUCUGACAGUUUCGUGCCAUUCUACCAGAACUGCAGCAUAUUCCUCAGCCAGGUCUGCGGAAGUCAUUGCUAUUUCAAAUCCACACUUGUAGCCAACUUGAGUACCAUAAUCAGUGUGAAUCCAAGGUGGCCAGACUUUGGGUGUUGUUACAAAAUAGUUUAUGAUACAUAAUAAAAAUGAUGGCAGGCAAGUUUUAGA